GUAAAUUAUUUACUUCAUUAAUAUGUUGUGAACUUCCAUUAGUGAUCAUAGGUCUGGCAUCUGUCAAUCAUUCAUGUUAUUAUUAUAUUCUCCAAUUAGUUUAGAAGUUGAACUUUGCAGUUCUUGAAGUUAAGAGUUCAGGCUCUUAUAGAAGUAGGAUUAUUGAAGUGUAUGGACUUGAGAACAUGCACAUGCAUUUAAGCCAUUGUUAUCAUAAAAGAUAAUUUUUUGAUAUCGAAAGCUAUAUUUGAGGUUAUCUGAUGCAAUUUUAAUUAGACUUGUGCUCUUAAUGAGAUCUUA
rnacentral:misc_RNA from 1 species